UACGAAGGGGCUAGCGUUGCUCGGAUUGACUGGGCGUAAAGGGCGCGUAGGCGGUUCGUACAGUCAGACGUGAAAUUCCUGGGCUCAACCUGGGGCUGCGUUUGAUACGUGCGGACUUGAGUGCGGAAGAGGGUCGUGGAAUUCCAGUGUAGAGGUGAAAUUCGUAGAUAUUGGGAAGAACACCGGUGGCGAAGGCGGCGACCUGGUCCUUGACUGACGCUGAGGCGCGAAAGCGUGGGAGCAAACAGG
rnacentral:rRNA from 1 species